UCUUCUUCUUCUUCCUGUAGAUUUGCUUUUUGCUGUCUGGGGAAAAGCGUGAAAUUUUUUGAAGAAUUUUCGUUGUUGUUGCUGUCAGUGAAUUAAUCAGUUGUAAAAUGUCGUCGUUCAAGAAUGCAAUUCCUAGACGAGCUCAUAAGGAGCGAGCUCAGCCACAAGCAAGGAAAAAAUUCGGGUUGCUUGAGAAACACAAAGAUUAUGUGGUACGGGCGACAGCAUUCCACAAAAAGGAGCAGGCUUUACAGAAACUAAAGGAAAAAGCAGCAUUUCGAAAUCCAGAUGAGUUCUACUUCAAGAUGGUUAAAACAAAAACUGUUGAUGGAGUGCACAAAUUGGAGAGCCAAGCAAAUAAAUACACUCCAGAGGAACUCAUGUUAAUGAAGACUCAGGAUAUAGGCUAUAUUUUACAGAAAGUUCAGAGUGAGAAAAAGAAAAUCGAGAAGUUAACCGCCAUGCUGCACUCGCUUGAUAAUCAGCCAUCAAACAAACGUGUCUAUUAUGCUGAAGACAGGGAAGAAGCAGAAGAGCUAGCGUCUAAAGCUUCAGAACGUAGUAAUCUGGCUGCUUCUGGGAACUUGCCUAGCAGUAUUAGAAGUUUGUCAACUUUUUCAUCAUUGGAAUCUCCUGCGCAGGAAGACAGCUACAUCUUAUAGAGAGUUGGAAGCAAGAAAGAGCAGAGUGAGAGAUUUAGAGAAAGUAUACAUGGAUAUGGCAAUGCAGAAAGAAUUACAGAAAUCUGGAAGGAAACGCAAACUUCGUGAAGAAGAGCUUGUUAACCCAACAACCAAACCUGUCUAUAAGUGGAGACAAGAACGUAAACGAUGAGAGUUUCUAUGUUAUAAUACAAGGUUAAGUUUUUUGGAUGGUCAUAUCAAGAACUCAGGUGAAAGUUGGUAGAACAGCUGCCUAAUUGGAUUCAUCAUGUAUUGAAGCUCUACAAUAUUUCGAGUUGCUUUUGUUGGGGUGAAAUCUUAGAAUGGAACUCAUGCAUCAUUCCCUUCGAGGAAUCAGAAGUGGAUGGCUGUUUUUAUCAUGAACCAUAUUGUUGAAAUUGUUAAAAAUUUCUAUAGAAUGUUAAAAGAUUAUUUGCAAUUCCAGCUGAUGCUUAAGAGGCUCUGGAUGUGUUGUGUACUGACAAUCAAUUGUUAGAAUGGAAAACAUUUAAACAGUGAAACAAUGACUAUUUAAGUUUCUU